rnacentral:rRNA from 1 species
CGCGUAAAGAACUUGCCUCACAGCUAGGGACAACAUUUAGAAAUGAAUGCUAAUACCUGAUAUUAUGAUUUUAAGGCAUCUUAGAAUUAUGAAAGCUAUAAGCACUGUGAGAGAGCUUUGCGUCCCACUAGCUAGUUGGAGAGGUAACAGCUCACCAAGGCGAUGAUGGGUAGCCGGCCUGAGAGGGUGAACGGCCACAAGGGGACUGAGACACGGCCCUU